rfam:Cavia porcellus supercont2_2 genomic scaffold, whole genome shotgun sequence.
CUUGGGUAUGGGGACAUGUGCCCCAAGACAUGGUCAGGCAUGCUAGUGGGAGCACUGUGUGCCUUGGCCGGCGUGCUCACCAUCGCCAUGCCUGUGCCAGUCAUUGUCAACAAC